GCUUACACAUGCAAGUCGAACGAUGAACCGGCUUCGGCCGGGGAUUAGUGGCGAACGGGUGAGUAACACGUGGGCAAUCUGCCCUUCACUCUGGGACAAGCCCUGGAAACGGGGUCUAAUACCGGAUACGACGCGCGACCGCAUGGUCUGUGCGUGGAAAGCUCCGGCGGUGAAGGAUGAGCCCGCGGCCUAUCAGCUUGUUGGUGGGGUAAUGGCCUACCAAGGCGACGACGGGUAGCCGGCCUGAGAGGGCGACCGGCCACACUGGGACUGAGACACGGCCCAGACUCCUACGGGAGGCAGCAGUGGGGAAUAUUGCACAAUGGGCGAAAGCCUGAUGCAGCGACGCCGCGUGAGGGAUGACGGCCUUCGGGUUGUAAACCUCUUUCAGCAGGGAAGAAGCGAGAGUGACGGUACCUGCAGAAGAAGCGCCGGCUAACUACGUGCCAGCAGCCGCGGUAAUACGUAGGGCGCAAGCGUUGUCCGGAAUUAUUGGGCGUAAAGAGCUCGUAGGCGGCUUGUCACGUCGGAUGUGAAAGCCCGGGGCUUAACCCCGGGUCUGCAUUCGAUACGGGCAGGCUAGAGUUCGGUAGGGGAGAU
rnacentral:rRNA from 1 species